UUCUUUGAGAGUUUGAUCCUGGCUCAGGAUGAACGCUGGCGGCAUGCCUAACCCAUGCAAGUCGAACGAGUCGCAAGACUAG
rnacentral:rRNA from 1 species